UGAAGAGGUACCUUCUGCCGUGGUUGUAAGUUUCCUGCGGGCCCCCCAAGCCGUGUGUACCUUCGGAAUUAAAUCAUUGAUCCCAGAAGAAAGGGACCACCACAGUGCUACGGAAAACAGGAAUUGUGAGAAGUUAUGGGAUCCAUUUUAGCUUGAUUUACUCACAGACUCCUUAAGCACACUUCAUAAGAUGAGGAAACUGAGACACUGGAAGAGGAAGUAACUUGCCCAAUGUCACUCAGCCAGGAAGAGGUGGAACCCAGCAUUGAAAUCCAGACAGUCUAACUCCAAAACAAAUAAACAAUACCACCACACUUUUAUCUUCUAGGCUAUACAUUUCUAAUGGCCAAUGAAGAAAACAAACUGAAAACAAAAUUCCUCCUUCCUGCUCUUGCUUAUUCCUAAUGGCUGUUCUUUUUAGCUCAUGUAGAAAAUAAAGUAGUAACAUGUUUCAGUACUUAUUGUAGCUCUAGUAAUUUCAGCUUGUAAAUUUGCUUUGGAAACCUUAGUGUUUAAAUAUUAAUCAAACAGAUGCAACUUUCCAAGCAACUGUUGUCAGAGAAAGAUCAACAUUCGUUAGAUUUUUACUUACUGACAAGUUAAAAAUAAGAUUAUGGUAGCUUUCCUACCUCCUGAAAAUCUGUUGCUCUUUAAGCCCCUCGUCAGAUUCAAAAGAAAUAUUUUGCACUCAACUUUAAAGCAGAGAUAUAUAAAAAUCAGCAAAUAAAUGAAAAAGUGAUUAAAUUCUUUAUUAAAGAUUUACCAAAAAAUAAUCCUUUAACUAUGUAAUCCUACAAUUGUUUUCAAAUACAAAUGAUUUUCCCCAUGUUUAGAUGUAUGUAUUUAAUGAAUACAACUCAGUAUAAUGAUCUUCCUAAAAAUGCCCCUUUUGUUUCCUUUUCUGAGACUUCUAAUGUAUUAAAAAAUAUAUAAUGCCAAAAAGCUUUUAUUAAAUUGUGAAAAAUUUAAAAUUUCCACACUUGUUAAAGAAAUACUUUUAAGCACACACAUGUGCAGUGAUUUGCUUGUAUUUUUCCCUUGAUGGUAACGGGAUUUAGA
rnacentral:lncRNA from 1 species